rnacentral:rRNA from 1 species
CGGUGCCAGCCGCUGCGGUAAUACCGAAGCCCCAAGUGGUCGUCGUUCUUAUUGGGCCUAAAACGUCCGUAGCCGGUCUGGUACAUUCGUGGGUAAAUCAGACAGCUUAACUGUCUGAAUUCUGCGAGCACGGCCAAACUUGAGACCGGGAGAGGUGUAGGGUACCUGCGGGGUAGGGGUAAAAUCCUGUCAUCCCGUAGGGACCACCAGUUGCGAAGGCUCUACACUAGAACGGAUCUGACGGUCAGGGACGAAGCCUAGGGGCACGAACCGGAUUAGAUACCCGGGUAGUCCUAGGUGUAAACGCUGUGGACUUUGUGUCGGGAAUUCUUCGAGGAUUCUCGGUGCCGGAGUGAAGAUGUUAAGUCCACUGCCUGGGGAGUACGGUCGCAAGGCUGAAACUCAAAGGAAUUGGCGGGGGAGCACUGCAACGAGAGGAGCGUGCGGUUU